rnacentral:rRNA from 1 species
UACGGAGGGGGCUAGCGUUGUUCGGAAUUACUGGGCGUAAAGCGCACGUAGGCGGCUUUGUAAGUUAGAGGUGAAAGCCCGGAGCUCAACUCCGGAAUUGCCUUUAAGACUGCAUCGCUUGAAUCCAGGAGAGGUGAGUGGAAUUCCGAGUGUAGAGGUGAAAUUCGUAGAGAUGUGGAGGAAUACCGGUGGCGAAGGCGGCAUCCUGGACCGGCAUUGACGCUGAUGAGCGAAAGCCAGGGGAGCAAACGGG